rnacentral:rRNA from 1 species
UAUUGGGCGUAAGCGCGCGCAGGUGGUUCCUUAAGUCUGAUGUGAAAGCCCACGGCUCAACCGUGGAGGGUCAUUGGAAACUGGGGAACUUGAGUGCAGAAGAGGAAAGUGGAAUUCCACGUGUAGCGGUGAAAUGCGUAGAGAUGUGGAGGAACACCAGUGGCGAAGGCGACUUUCUGGUCUGUAACUGACACUGAGGCGCGAAAGCGUGGGGAGCGAACAGGAUUAGAUACCCUGGUAGUCCACGCCGUAAACGAUGAGUGCUAAGUGUUAGAGGGUUUCCGCCCUUUAGUGCUGCAGCUAACGCAUUAAGCACUCCGCCUGGGGAGUACGGCCGCAAGGCUGAAACUCAAAGGAAUUGACGGGGGCCUGCACAAGCUGUGGAGCAUGUGGUUUAAUUCGAAGCAACGCGAAGAACCUUACCAGGUCUUGACAUCCUCUGACAACCCUAGAGAUAGGGCCUUCCCUUUCGGGGGACAGAGUGACAGGUGGUGCAUGGUUGUCGUCAGCUCGUGUCGUGAGAUGUUGGGUUAAGUCCCGCAACGAGCGCAACCCUUGAUCUUAGUUGCCAGCAUUCAGUUGGGCACUCUAAGGUGACUGCCGGUGACAAACCGGAGGAAGGUGGGGAUGACGUCAAAUCAUCAUGCCCCUUAUGACCUGGGCUACACACGUGCUACAAUGGAUGGUACAAAGAGCCCGCAAACCCGCGAGGGCAAGCUAAUCUCAUAAAGCCAUUCUCAGUUCGGAUUGCAGGCUGCAACUCGCCUGCAUGAAGCCGGAAUCGCUAGUAAUCGCGGAUCAGCAUGCCGCGGUGAAUACGUUCCCGGGCCUUGUACACACCGCCCGUCACACCACGAGAGUUUGUAACACCCGAA